GGAGGGGUGUCCGAGCGGUCGAAGGUGACAGACUCGAAAUCUGUUGUGCCGAAAGGCACCGUGGGUUCGAAUCCCACCCCCUCCG
rnacentral:tRNA from 1 species